GCUCCUGUGGCCUAAUGGAUAAGGCAUUGGCCUCUGGAGCUAAAGACUGUGGGUUCAAGUCCCACCAGGGCCG